rnacentral:tRNA from 1 species
GUCUUAGCUCAACUGGCAGAGCAACUGAUUUGUAAUCAGUAGGUUGGCGGUUCGAUUCCGUUAGAC